UAAAUUGACUUGCGAUGUCCCAAUGGACAUG
rnacentral:piRNA from 1 species